ensembl:rRNA 5S_rRNA 5S ribosomal RNA
GCCGACAGCUAGCUCUUUGCAAUUCUGACAUGGUCGCCCACUGAAUAUGAGCAGGGCUGUGCCCGGUCGAUACCUGGAUGGGAGACCACAUGGGAAAGCUAGGCUGCUGCCGGAA